GGGGUUAGCCACUCAGCAGCUGGCUCCUGCCUGACCCUGGUCAAGAUCCAGAAUCUAGAAGUUCCUCUGCCCACAUCCCCUGAGGGGCUGGAUCUGAGAAUGAGCUAACAUUUACCGUGAGAGGAUCCUUUGAAGAAACCCAGACAGUUUCAGUGGGCUUUGACUCCCGCUCCCCUCUCCCAGAUCCCACUUUCUUCCACUAUGCCAGAUACAAGCAACCCUCCCUGGAUGUUGCACUCAGGAAGAAGACGAAGCUUCCCACCUUUUGUACUUGCAUGUCAUGUGGACCAAGGAGGAGAAGUGUCCCCUUGACAAUCCCUCUGAAGUCACUCCCCUCUGAGCAGGAAGUAGUUGGUGAGCACAGAAAAUUUGAUUUGCUCCUUAAGGUGAAAAAAUG